rnacentral:misc_RNA from 1 species
UUUUCUUCUUCUUCUUCUUCUUCUUCUUUGGUCGUCUUCUUCUUCUUCGCGAGUUGGGUUGAAUGGUUGAGGCCAUCGCCGCCUCUCCAACAGUGGCCAAACACCCAGCAACACCUCAAUCGCACCACCUCAACUGCCACCCCCGCUGAAUGCAACCUCAUCUCCAGACUACCCAAGUUUGUCACCUAAGCAUUGACCCCUCAACUAGUGGGUCAUCCAAGUCCUUUUUGUUGUCUGGCACCAUAGCCUUGUCAAAUUGUAGGGGGCCCUCGGCUUCCAUUUUCUCUCUAUUCCAUGACCAUCUCAUCCUCAAAUUGCUUGAACGGUUAUAGGCUUCUUUAGGUU